rnacentral:rRNA from 1 species
GAUGAACGCUGACAGAAUGCUUAACACAUGCAAGUCAACUUGAACUUCGGUUUGGGUGGCGGACGGGUGAGUAACGCGUAAAGAACUUGCCUCACAGUUAGGGACAACAUUUGGAAACGAAUGCUAAUACCUGAUAUUAUGAUUUUAGGGCAUCCUAGAAUUAUGAAAGUUAUAUGCGCUGUGAGAGAGCUUUGCGUCCCAUUAGCUAGUUGGAGAGGUAACGGCUCACCAAGGCGAUGAUGGGUAGCCGGCCUGAGAGGGUGAACGGCCACAAGGGGACUGAGACACGGCCCUUACUCCUACGGGAGGCAGCAGUGGGGAAUAUUGGACAAUGGGCCAAGAGUCUGAUCCAGCAAUUCUGUGUGCACGAUGAAGUUUUUCGGAAUGUAAAGUGCUUUCAGUUGGGAAGAAAAAAAUGACGAUACCAACAGAAGAAGUGACGGCUAAAUACGUG